GACGAACGCUGGCGGCGUGCUUAACACAUGCAAGUCGAACGGAAAGGCCCUGCUUUUGUGGGGUGCCCGAGUGGCGAACGGGUGAGUAACACGUGAGUAACCUGCCCUUGACUUUGGGAUAACUUCAGGAAACUGGGGCUAAUACCGGAUAGGAGCUCCUGCUGCAAUGGGUGGGGGUUGGAAAGUUUCGGCGGUUGGGGAUGGACUCGCGGCUUAUCAGCUUGUUGGUGGGUAGUGGCUUACCAAGGCUUUGACGGGUAGCCGGCCUGAGAGGGUGACCGGCCACAUUGGGACUGAGAUACGGCCCAGACUCCUACGGGAGGCAGCAGUGGGGAAU
rnacentral:rRNA from 1 species